UACGUAGGGUGCAAGCGUUAGCCGGGAUUAUUGGGCGAAAAGAGCGCGUUGGCGGCUUGUCGCGUCUGCUGUGAAAACCCGAGGCUCAACCUCGGGCCUGCAGUGGGUACGGGCAGACUAGAGUGCGGUAGGGGAGAUUGGAAUUCCUGGUGUAGCGGUGGAAUGCGCAGAUAUCAGGAGGAACACCGAUGGCGAAGGCAGAUCUCUGGGCCGUAACUGACGCUGAGGAGCGAAAGCGUGGGGAGCGAACAGG
rnacentral:rRNA from 1 species